UAAAAUGAAGGCCCCUGAUCCAUUCAGGAGUGAUUUGAGAAAUCCUUUGUCACCAUGAACCAGUUGACCUGCAUAACAGAGGAAACCAGCAUGCGACUCUGGUUGGUGUUCACACCAGACCAGCAGCAGGUGCUGUGGUCCUGGAUUUCCUUCAGUUUGGAUGAACUCAACAACAUCAAUUCAGCAAUCUCAGCUGUACUGAGCUCUUCAACAUUUAUCAUCGGGUGGGAGCCAAAGGAACAGAGGACAGCUGUGAACUCAACCUGACAAAGUCUAAUAUCUCUGCUUGUGAGCUUCAGUGUCUCACUUUCCUGUCCAGUUCUCACUAAAGCUUGUGUUUGGUCAUAUAUUAAUAUUAACAUGAUUUUCUUUCCGGUCAACUGAACUCAACGGCAUUGAGUAUUUCACGUGACCCCUUGUCAUCAAAUUUUAAUGACCCAUAAAUGUAUUUACUCACUGGAAAUUUAAGUAAGUUUUUAAAAAAAGUCUUGUUAAUGCAGACUUUAUUUGUUUUGUUGUGUUUUCAAAAAUGUUUCUUAGAUGCACAUUACCCAUAUGGGGCAAUGCAUUGUUAUUUUUCUUUUUCCUGGGUACAUGAGGGGCGAAACAAAUAAAAGUAAAAAGUGAACACCGGUCCUAUAAAGAGAUUUUAGGAUGGAUCACUUUUAUUUGGCUGCGCUGAAAUGCAUUGAAAAGGGACAGAAAUCGGUUGGGCCCUGCAUAAAAUUUCUUAAGCUAUUCACACCGGCCUUGAAGUGACCACUUUUGAAGAAAAGUCUAUGUAAACGCACGUAUAUCUGCGUUUCGGGAACUGCAUUGAAAACUUUGUGUUCAAGUGUGGCUACACAAGUUCUCACGAUCGUUUUGGGGUUUUACAUGCAAAACACAAAGCCAUUUGUUGGAAUAAAGCUGGAGCGGGUUUUGUACAGCUUUGACAUGUCGCACCAAGCCUCUUCCAAUGGAAGGCACAUGAGGUAGUAUCGAGUAGCAACUGUCCUGUGUGAACACCAUAUAUGCAAAAAGCACAUGCCCGUUGUGAAGGUAGCAGUACAAGAAAACAACUGUUUUUAAUAUGUGCACUGGCCAUGCUUUUCACUGGAGAAGAAAGUAAACCACGCAUUUCAAAACCACCACAUAUUUUUGUUGGCUGCAUGUAGCUCACAUGACCCUAACCCUUCAAAAAAACUCAGCUUAACAACAUGAGCUCCUCAUCUCAGUAACUUUAACACACUUCAGUCACUAUCAGAGCAGUUCUUUCUUGUCUUUACAAAGGAUGGAUACUCUCUCAGAACAUUCUGCUUUACUUGGAUUGGUGUCUGUGCAGAAAGAAAAACUGGAAAUAACAUCCAAGACUGAAAAUGUCCAUUAUAAAUAAGGAAAAUUGGUGGCGACUAAAACACCUAAAUAAAGU